rnacentral:rRNA from 1 species
UACGUAGGCAGCAAGCGUUGUUCGGAAUUACUGGGCGUAAAGAGUGUGUAGGUGGUGCUCUAAGUUUGGUGUGAAAUCUCCCGGCUUAACUGGGAGGGUGCAUCGAAAACUGGAGUGCUCGAGUAUGGGAGAGGCAAGCGGAAUUCCUGGUGUAGCGGUGAAAUGCGUAGAUAUCAGGAGGAACACCUGUGGUGUAGACAGCUUACUGGACCAUUUCUGACGCUGAGACACGAAAGCGUGGGUAGCAAACAGG